GGUUGACCUCGGAUCAGGUAGGGAUACCCGCUGAACUUAAGCAUAUCAAUAAGCGGAGGAAAAGAAACCAACCGGGAUUGCCUCAGUAACGGCGAGUGAAGCGGCAAGAGCUCAAAUUUGAAAUCUGGCCCCUCCGGGGUCCGAGUUGUAAUUUGUAGAGGAUGCUUCGGGUGCGGCCCCUGUCUAAGUGCCCUGGAACGGGCCAUCGGAGAGGGUGAGAAUCCCGUCUGGGAUGGGGUGUCCGUGCCCGUGUGAAGCUCCUUCGACGAGUCGAGUUGUUUGGGAAUGCAGCUCUAAAUGGGUGGUAAAUUUCAUCUAAAGCUAAAUACUGGCCGGAGACCGAUAGCGCACAAGUAGAGUGAUCGAAAGAUGAAAAGCACUUUGAAAAGAGAGUUAAACAGCACGUGAAAUUGUUGAAAGGGAAGCGCUUGCGACCAGACUCGCCCACGGGGUUCAGCCGGCUUUCGGGCCGGUGUACUUCCCCGGGGGCGGGCCAGCGUCGGUUUGGGCGGCCGGUCAAAGGCCCCCGGAAUGUAACGCCCCUCCGGGGGCGUCUUAUAGCCGGGGGUGUCAUGCGGCCAGCCUAGACCGAGGAACGCGCUUCGGCACGGACGCUGGCAUAAUGGUCGCAAACGACC
rnacentral:rRNA from 1 species